UGGGGAAUAUUGCACAAUGGGCGCAAGCCUGAUGCAGCCAUGCCGCGUGUAUGAAGAAGGCCUUCGGGUUGUAAAGUACUUUCAGCGGGGAGGAAGGGAGUAAAGUUAAUACCUUUGCUCAUUGACGUUACCCGCAGAAGAAGCACCGGCUAACUCCGUGCCAGCAGCCGCGGUAAUACGGAGGGUGCAAGCGUUAAUCGGAAUUACUGGGCGUAAAGCGCACGCAGGCGGUUUGUUAAGUCAGAUGUGAAAUCCCCGGGCUCAACCUGGGAACUGCAUCUGAUACUGGCAAGCUUGAGUCUCGUAGAGGGGGGUAGAAUUCCAGGUGUAGCGGUGAAAUGCGUAGAGAUCUGGAGGAAUACCGGCGGCGAAGGCGGCCCCCUGGACGAAGACUGACGCUCAGGUGCGAAAGCGUGGGGAGCAAACAGG
rnacentral:rRNA from 1 species